rnacentral:rRNA from 1 species
AUUGAACGCUGGCGGCAUGCCUUACACAUGCAAGUCGAACGGCAUCGCGGGAAAGCUUGCUUUCCUGGCGGCGAGUGGCGAACGGGUGAGUAACACAUCGGAACGUACCGGCUAGUGGGGGAUAACCCGUCGAAAGACGGGCUAAUACCGCAUACGCUCUUCGGAGGAAAGCAGGGGGCCUUUGGGCCUUGCGCUAGUCGAGCGGCCGAUGUCCGAUUAGCUAGUUGGUGGGGUAAAGGCCUACCAAGGCGACGAUCGGUAGCGGGUCUGAGAGGACGAUCCGCCACACUGGGACUGAGACACGGCCCAGACUCCUACGGGAGGCAGCAGUGGGGAAUCUUGGACAAUGGGGGCAACCCUGAUCCAGCAAUGCCGCGUGGGUGAAGAAGGCCUUCGGGUUGUAAAGCCCUUUCGGCAGGGAAGAAAUCGGCGGGGCGAAUAACCCUGCUGGAUGACGGUACCUGCAGAAGAAGCACCGGCUAACUACGUG